rnacentral:rRNA from 1 species
GACGAACGCUGGCGGUGUGCUUAACACAUGCAAGUGGAGCGACGAACCAGGGCUUGCCCUGGGGCAGAGCCGCGAACGGGUGAGUAACACGUGGGUAACGUACCCCGAUUACCGGGACAACCCGAGGAAACUCGGGCUAAUACCGGAUGUGCCCUCCUCCCAUGGGGGAGGCGAGUAAAAGAAGCUUCGGCCUCCGGAUCGGGAGCGGCGCGCGGCCUAUUAGUUUGUUGGUGGGGUAACGGCCUACCAAGACUGCGAUAGGUAGCUGGUCUGAGAGGAUGAUCAGCCACACUGGGACUGAGACACGGCCCAGACUCCUACGGGAGGCAGCAGUGGGGAAUCUUGCGCAAUGCGCGACAGCGUGACGCAGCAACACCGCGUGGGGGAAGAAGGCCUUCGGGUUGUAAAGCCCUUUCAGGAGGGACGAAGGGCGGCCGGUGAAUAGCCGGGCCGGUUGACGGUACCUACACAAGAAGCCCCGGCUAACUACGUG